rnacentral:rRNA from 1 species
AACAGCUAGUAGUUUGAUCCUGGCUCAGGACGAACGCUGGCGGCGUGCCUAACACAUGCAAGUCGAACGGAGUGGUUUUGGAAGAUCCUUCGGGGUCGGAAGAUUUCACUUAGUGGCGGACGGGUGAGUAACGCGUGAGCAACCUGCCUUUCAGAGGGGGACAACAGUUGGAAACGACUGCUAAUACCGCAUGACAUAUAAUAGUCGCAUGGCUGAUAUAUCAAAGAUUUAUCGCUGAAAGAUGGGCUCGCGUCUGAUUAGAUAGUUGGUGGGGUAACGGCCCACCAAGUCGACGAUCAGUAGCCGGACUGAGAGGUUGAACGGCCACAUUGGGACUGAGAUACGGCCCAGACUCCUACGGGAGGCAGCAGUGGGGAAUAUUGGGCAAUGGGGGCAACCCUGACCCAGCAACGCCGCGUGAAGGAAGAAGGCUUUCGGGUUGUAAACUUCUUUACCAGGGACGAAGGACGUGACGGUACCUGGAGAAAAAGCCACGGCUAACUACGUGCC